GACGAACGCUGGCGGCGUGCUUAACACAUGCAAGUCGAACGGAAAGGCCCUGCUUUUGUGGGGUGCUCGAGUGGCGAACGGGUGAGUAACACGUGAGUAACCUGCUCUUGAUUUUGGGAUAACUUCAGGAAACUGGGGUUAAUCUCGGAUAGGAGCCCCCGCUGCAUGGUGGGGGUUGGAAAGUUGCGGCGGGUGGGGAUGGACUCGCGGCUUAUCAGCUUGUUGGUGGGGGAGUGGCUUACCAAGGCUUUGACGGGUAGCCGGCCUGAGAGGGUGACCGGCCACAUUGGGACUAAGAGACGCCCCAGACUCGUACGGGGGGCAACAGGGGCGAGUAUUACACAAUGAGCGGGAGCCUGAUGCAGCAGCGCCGCGUGCGGGAUGACGGCCUUCGGGUUGUGAACCGCUGUCGCCUGUGACGAAGCGUGAGUGACGGUAAUGAGUGAAGAAGCACCGGCUAACUACGUG
rnacentral:rRNA from 1 species